rnacentral:rRNA from 1 species
UGGGCAAUCUGCCCAUCUCUUUGGAAUAAGCGUUGGAAACGACGUCUAAUGCCGAAUACGACCUCCUUUCGCAUGAUCGGAGGUGGAAAGCUCCGGCGGAGAUGGAUGAGCUCGCGGCCUAUCAGCUAGUUGGUGUGGGUAAUGGCCCACCAAGGCGACGACGGGUAGCCGGCCUGAGAGGGUGACCCGGCCACACUGGGACUGAGACACGGCCCAGACCUCCGUACGGGAGCAG